AUGUCCGUGCUUUUUUCCUGCGGGUCAUUUAUUUCGUUGUGCAUGCGGAGGAAACAUAAAAUUACGUUUAAUCAACGCAAAGGGAUUUUCUUAAAAUUCACAGUAGAAAUACAACCAAAGAGGCCGUAAAGUGUCUUGAUUGACGGGCCUGCAUGAGGAUCGAGAAUUCUGGGGAGUAAAGAAUGACGUGACGGCGCGUGGUGCCCCCGUUAAUGCCCGUCCAGACACGCGACACGUUCCAAACCCCAAAAUGGUACGAGACGCAUUCCAAGGAAAAACCUCCAGUCUGCGAGAUGACAUCAUAAGUGCUCGGGAGGACCGGGGGUGACCUCAUAAUGACUUCCUCCGGCCGGGCCCCUCUCAACGUUGACGAGACAUCAGAGAGUGUCUGCCCCACCAUUAAAAAAUUUUAUUUUACAAGCUCCACUAGACAGUGGACAGUGAAUGGGGUUUUGUUAAAUUCAGGUUAUGGACAGAGAAGUUUCAUGAAGUGUUCCUUAUAUUUUGCAUCCCGGCUCUCCAUAAUUGGAGUAUGACUUCAGACGGUGGCAUUGAAACUGUCUGGUAAGAAACCCUUCCGAGGCUCUGGAUGUCUAUCAUGGUGUGUCUCGCCCACAAGCCUAUGUGUGUGUGUACCUGUGGUUUUCCUGUCGGUGAAACCCAAUAACAGUCCCAUUGCAUCAUUUUGAAUAGUUUCAGGAGAAAAUGGAUGCAGUCUUGGCAGUCGGCGAGUGUUUCCAUUGCUUUCUCCGAACCGUUUUCCUCCUCUGCUCGCCCUCCCCACAGGGAAAACGGUCAAAACAAACAGCAAAUAGUUGGUGUUGAGAGACUUGGGCACUUGGAAGGCCACAUUCCAGCAUAAGUGGAAAAAAUUAGAGUCCCUGCCGGAUUGCUGCAGCUCCCGGAGGCUUUGAUUCACUAAGUUAAUUUGGGAUAGCCGCUGAGAGCUGUAGGAUUUCGAGCUGGCGAGUAACAAUGUUGUCAGCGGGUUUUCUUCGGAAUGCCCCCACGUCAAGAAAGCUCUGACCUGAAACUCCAGCAGCCCACCUGAACAGCAGCUGUGCCAGAUUUCCAGAUAUACAGAUGGGUUUUUAACUCGAGUAACCCACAAGAAGAAACACGCGCCAUAAGGGAAGGAGGAGGGGAUGCUGGGAUGCUCAGAUCACAUCGAUGUAGCAGCACAGUAUCCAGCAGAGGCUGAACUCCAGAAUCCGUCCCGGGCCAGACUGUUGUCUCACAGAUCUUCAG